rnacentral:rRNA from 1 species
AGAUUGAACGCUGGCGGCAUGCCUAACACAUGCAAGUCGAGCGGCAGCGCGGGGGCGACCCUGGCGGCGAGCGGCGGACGGGUGAGUAAGGCAUCGGAAUCUGCCCUGAUGUGGGGGAUAACGUAGGGAAACUUACGCUAAAUACCGCAUACGACCGAGAGGUGAAAGCGGGGGGACCGAAAGGCCUCGCGCAGCAGGAUGAGCCGAUGUCCGAUUAGCUGGUUGGUGGGGUAACGGCCCACCAAGGCGACGAUCGGUAAGCUGGGUCUGAGAGGGAUGAUCAGCCACACUGGGAACUGAGACACGGGCCCAGACUCCUACGGGA